UACGUAGGGUGCAAGCGUUGUCCGGAAUUAUUGGGCGUAAAGAGCGUGUAGGCGGCCCGAUUAGUCCGCUGUGAAAGUCCAGGGCUCAACCCUGGAAUGCCGGUGGAUACUGUCGGGCUAGAGUCCGGAAGGGGCGAGUGGAAUUCCUGGUGUAACGGUGAAAUGCGCAGAUAUCAGGAGGAACACCAAUGGCGAAGGCAGCUCGCUGGGACGUGACUGACGCUGAGACGCGAAAGCGUGGGGAGCAAACAGG
rnacentral:rRNA from 1 species